rnacentral:ncRNA from 1 species
GAAAAGUUUUAUUCUUGCUUAUUUAUUUAUUUUUUCUUUGUAUUAUAUGUAAGUUUUGUUAAACUAAAUGUUCUUUUUGCAGUAAUUUAAUUUAAUUAUCAAGUUAUUUUGGAAUUAGUAAUUGUUUUAGUAUCAGCAUAUUUCGUGCCAGCAGCUGCGGUUAUACGAUUGAUACAAGUAAAUAUUUUUGGUUAAUAACAGUUAUUAGUUUUUUAUGAGUAUAGAUUUGAAUUUUUAAGGUGAAAUUUAAUUUUUUAAUAUUAUUCUUUUAUAUGAGUCUGUGAAACUUAAGUAAUAAACUAGGAUUAGAUACCCUAUUAUUUUAAGUGUAAAAUAUUAUUUGCCUGGGUAAUAUUAGUUAAGAUCUUUAAACCCAAAGAAUUUGGCGGUAUCUUAUUCCAUUCAGAGGAACCUACCCCAUUAUUGAUAGUACACGAUUAACUUUACUUAAUUUACUUGUUUGUAUAUCUCCGUUAUCAGAAAAUCUUUUUAGAGUUAAAAUUUUCUUAAUUUAUGAUUAUAAAAUAUUUCAGGUCAAGGUGCAGCUUAUAGUUAAGAGGAGGUGGGUUACAAUAAAUUUUUGUUUAUAUGGAUUUAAAAAUAAAAUAUUUUUAAUGAAGGUGGAUUUGAUAGUAAUUUGAUUUAUUUAAUUCAUUUGAUAUUGGCUCUGAGAUGUGUACACAUCGCCCGUCGCUCUCAUUAUUAAAUAAAACAUUAAUAUAUUAAUUAAUUGAGAUAAGUCGUAACAUAGUAGAUGUACUGGAAAGUGUAUCUAGUAAGAU